rnacentral:misc_RNA from 1 species
AGCAGCCGCGGUAAUUCCAGCUCCAAUAGCGUAUAUUAAAGUUGUUGCAGUUAAAAAGCUCGUAGUUGAAUUUCGGGGUUAGUAGGUUGGUCAUGCCUCUGGUAUGUACUGGUCUCACUGAUUCCUCCUUCCUGAUGAACCUUAAUGCCAUUAAUUUGGUGUUUUGGGGAAUUUGGACUGUUACUUUGAAAAAUUAGAGUGUUUAAAGCAAGCUAACGCUUGAAUACAUUAGCAUGGAAUAAUGAAACAGGACGUUCGAUCCUAUUUUGUUGGUUUCUAGGAUUGACGUAAUGAUUAAUAGGGAUAGUUGGGGGCAUUAGUAUUCAAUUGUCAGAGGUGAAAUUCUUGGGUUUAUUGAAGACUAACUACUGCGAAAGCAUUUGCCAAGGAUGUUUUCAUUAAUCAAGAACGAAAGUUAGGGGAUCGAAGACGAUCAGAUACCGUCGUAGUCUUAACCAUAAACUAUGCCGAUAGGGAUCGGAUGAUGUUAAUUUUUAAUGUACUCAUUCGGCGCCUUACG